AGUGAACGCUGGCGGUAGGCCUAACACAUGCAAGUCGAACGGCAGCACAGGAGAGCUUGCUCUCUGGGUGGCGAGUGGCGGACGGGUGAGGAAUACAUCGGAAUCUACUCUGUCGUGGGGGAUAACGUAGGGAAACUUACGCUAAUACCGCAUACGACCUACGGGUGAAAGCAGGGGACCUUCGGGCCUUGCGCGAUUGAAUGAGCCGAUGUCGGAUUAGCUAGGUGGCGGGGUAAAGGCCCACCAAGGCGACGAUCCGUAGCUGGUCUGAGAGGAUGAUCCGCCACACUGGAACUGAGACACGGUACAGACUCCUACGGGAGGCAGCAGUGGGGAAUAUUGGACAAUGGGCGCAAGCCUGAUCCAGCCAUACCGCGUGGGUGAAGAAGGCCUUCGGGUUGUAAAGCCCUUUUGUUGGGAAAGAAAUCCAGCUGGCUAAUACCCGGUUGGGAUGACGGUACCCAAAGAAUAAGCACCGGCUAACUUCGUGCCAGCCGCCGCAGUAA
rnacentral:rRNA from 1 species